rnacentral:rRNA from 1 species
UUACGGGAGGCAGCAGUGGGGAAUAUUGGACAAUGGGCGAAAGCCUGAUCCAGCAAUGCCGCGUGUGUGAAGAAGGUCUUCGGAUUGUAAAGCACUUUAAGUUGGGAGGAAGGGCAGUUACCUAAUACGUAAUUGUUUUGACGUUACCGACAGAAUAAGCACCGGCUAACUCUGUGCCAGCAGCCGCGGUAAUA